rnacentral:rRNA from 1 species
GGGAGGCAGCAGUGAGGAAUAUUGGGCAAUGGGCGAAAGCCUGACCCAGCAACGCCGCGUGAUUGAAGAAGGUCUUCGGAUUGUAAAGAUCUGUCCUAUGGGACGAAGAAAGUGACGGUACCAUAGGAGGAAGCCCCGGCUAACUACGUGCCAGCAGCCGCGGUAAUACGUAGGGGGCUAGCGUUGUCCGGAAUUACUGGGCGUAAAGGGUGCGCAGGCGGCGCUUUAAGUCAGAUGUGAAAUACCCGGGCUUAACCUGGGGGGUGCAUUUGAAACUGGAGCACUUGAGUGCAGGAGAGGAAAGUGGAAUUCCUAGUGUAGCGGUGAAAUGCGUAGAUAUUAGGAGGAACACCAGUGGCGAAGGCGACUUUCUGGACUGUAACUGACGCUGAGGCACGAAAGCGUGGGGAGCAAACAGGAUUAGAUACCCCUGUUGUCCC